UGAAGCAGAGGCAAUGAAUUACGAAG
rnacentral:piRNA from 1 species